rnacentral:rRNA from 1 species
UACGUAGGGGGCAAGCGUUGUCCGGAAUCAUUGGGCGUAAAGAGCGUGUAGGCGGUCCGGUAAGUCGGUUGUGAAAGUCCAGGGCUCAACCCUGGGAUGCCGACCGAUACUGUCGGACUAGAGUUCGGAAGAGGCGAGUGGAAUUCCCGGUGUAGCGGUGAAAUGCGCAGAUAUCGGGAGGAACACCAAUGGCGAAGGCAGCUCGCUGGGACGUUACUGACGCUGAGACGCGAAAGCGUGGGGAGCAAACAGG